rnacentral:rRNA from 1 species
CCCUUGGAUGUUCUGGGCCGCACGCGCGCUACACUGUUCGACGCAGCGAGUCUUAACCUUGACCGAAAGGUUUGGGUAAUCUUCAGCAAAGUCGAACGUGAUGGGGAUCGAUCAUUGCAAUUAUUGAUCGUGAACGAGGAAUUCCUAGUAAGUGCAAGUCAUCAGCUUGCGCUGAUUACGUCCCUGCCCUUUGUACACACCGCCCGUCGCUACUACCGAUUGAAUGGUUUAGUGAGAUCUCUGGAUUGACGCUGGCUAGGGGGCGACCCUUGGCCAGACUGCUCGAGAAACUGCUCAAACUUGAUCAUUUAGAGGAAGUAAAAGUCGUAACA